rnacentral:rRNA from 1 species
GAUGAACGCUGGCGGCGUGCCUAAUACAUGCAAGUCGAGCGAACAGACGAGGAGCUUGCUCCUUCGACGUUAGCGGCGGACGGGUGAGUAACACGUAGGUAACCUACCUAUAAGACUGGGAUAACUUCGGGAAACCGGAGCUAAUACCGGAUAAUAUUUCGAACCGCAUGGUUCGAUAGUGAAAGAUGGCUUUGCUAUCACUUAUAGAUGGACCUGCGCCGUAUUAGCUAGUUGGUAAGGUAACGGCUUACCAAGGCAACGAUACGUAGCCGACCUGAGAGGGUGAUCGGCCACACUGGAACUGAGACACGGUCCAGACUCCUACGGGAGGCAGCAGUAGGGAAUCUUCCGCAAUGGGCGAAAGCCUGACGGAGCAACGCCGCGUGAGUGAUGAAGGUCUCCGGAUCGUAAAACUCUGUUAUUAGGGAAGAACAAACGUGUAAGUAACUGUGCACGUCUUGACGGUACCUAAUCAGAAAGCCACGGCUAACUACGUG